rnacentral:rRNA from 1 species
GUGGGGAAUAUUGCACAAUGGGCGAAAGCCUGAUGCAGCAACGCCGCGUGAGCGAUGAAGGCCUUUGGGUCGUAAAGCUCUGUCCUUGGGGAAGAAAACAAUGACGGUACCCUUGGAGGAAGCCCCGGCUAACUACGUGCCAGCAGCCGCGGUAAUACGUAGGGGGCAAGCGUUAUCCGGAAUUAUUGGGCGUAAAGAGUGCGUAGGUGGUCUUGUAAGCGCGGGGUGAAAGGCUAUGGCUUAACCAUGGUAAGCCUUGCGAACUGUAAGACUUGAGUGCAGGAGAGGAAAGCGGAAUUCCUAGUGUAGCGGUGAAAUGCGUAGAUAUUAGGAGGAACACCAGUGGCGAAGGCGGCUUUCUGGACUGUAACUGACACUGAGGCACGAAAGCGUGGGGAGCAAACAGGAUUAGAAACCCUUGUAGUCC